rnacentral:rRNA from 1 species
UUGAACGCUGGCGGCAUGCUUUACACAUGCAAGUCGAACGGCAGCGCGGGCUUCGGCCUGGCGGCGAGUGGCGAACGGGUGAGUAAUGCAUCGGAACGUGCCCAGUAGUGGGGGAUAGCCCGGCGAAAGCCGGAUUAAUACCGCAUACGACCUGAGGGUGAAAGCGGGGGACCGAAAGGCCUCGCGCUAUUGGAGCGGCCGAUGUCGGAUUAGCUAGUUGGUGGGGUAAAGGCUUACCAAGGCGACGAUCCGUAGCUGGUCUGAGAGGACGACCAGCCACACUGGGACUGAGACACGGCCCAGACUCCUACGGGAGGCAGCAGUGGGGAAUUUUGGACAAUGGGGGCAACCCUGAUCCAGCCACGCCGCGUGCGGGAAGAAGGCCUUCGGGUUGUAAACCGCUUUUGUUCGGGAAGAAAUCCUCUGGGCUAAUACCCCGGGGGGAUGACGGUACCGGAAGAAUAAGCACCGGCUAACUACGUG